AUUGAACGCUGGCGGCAGGCCUAACACAUGCAAGUCGAGCGAGCGGCGGACGGGUGCGUAAUGUAUGGGGACUGCCCGAUAGAUGGGGAUAACUGCUGGAUACGGUAUCUAAUACCGCAUACUAUCGGAUAACCCAUAUGGGAUUAGCUAGUUGGUGGGGUAAUGGCUCACCAAGGCGACGAUCCCUAGCUGGUCUGAGAGGAUGAUCAGCCACACGGGGACUGAGACACGGCCCAGACUCCUACGGAGGCAGCAGUGGGGAAUAUUGCACAAUGGGCGCAAGUCUGAUGCAGCCAUGCCGCGUGUAUGAAGAAGGCCUUAGGGUUGUAAAGUACUUUUAGUCGGGAGGCGUUACCGACAGAAGAAGCACCGGCUAACUCCGUGCCAGCAGCCGCGGUAAUAC
rnacentral:rRNA from 1 species